AUUUGUUUAACUAUGGCAAUAGGAAGUUUUAUGAUGGCUUAGUUGCAUAAAGUUUUUUUAUUCUUUUAUCUCAAGUUAUCUUUUUUAUUGAUUAGCAGCUAGUAUUUUAGUAAAAUUUUCGUUUUUUAAGAUGUCAUCAUAUAAAAGGGGAUAGGACACAGUGCCAGCAUCCGCGGUUAUUCUGUUUUCUUUGCUUUCUUUUGGAUUAUGUUUAGAUGUAUAGUUUUAAGGUUUGGUGAAAUUUUCUUAAGUUAAGGCAUAGCAUCUAUGUGUAUAUAAGGUAGUUUAAACGACAGGGAUUAGAUACCCCAGUAGUUACUAUUUUACAGUUUUCUAGUUACAUAACUAAAAUAGUUUGGCAGCGAGUUAUUCCUAUCGGGGGAAGGUGUGGCAUAAAGGACGAUCCGCCCAAUAAGCAACCUGUGUUAUGUUGGUGUAUAUCUGGUUGAAGAUUAUUGCUUUAUAGCUGAAUUUGUGUAGACAUUAUUAAGCCAAGUCUAUGUGCUGCAUGCACAGGGGACCAUGCGUUACUAUUAUAAGUAGCUUUUUGUAACAUCUGCUUUUUUAGGACUCGAGAGUAAUAUAAAAUUAUUUUGUUUAUGUGAAAGGGGUUUAACUUGGGUACACACCGCCCGUCACCCUCGACAGUUGUUGAGGUAAGUCGUAACAUGGUAACCCCAAAUGAAUUUGGGGUUAAUUGUAGGUCAGC
rnacentral:ncRNA from 1 species